CAGACACGUGGGUAUAUAUUAAAAAUACAAUGCAGCGGUUCAGUAGAGUUGGAGACAUUCAGACUAAUGAGAGAAGAGGGACACAGUCACCAUUAUGCGCGAUUUAAGGGCUGUUCUGUGAAAGAGAGAGAGGACUUUUUAUGUGUAACCCUUAGUAGCAGACAGAUUUCAGCUCCAGAGAAGAUGAGCAGACAAGCUCCUUGAGGGUAUGGAAUGUGUCUCCUCCACUGUUACAUCCUUACAUCUAGGACAGUGUCUGGCAAUGAAGUAAGCCUUAACUAAUGCCUGUUAGAUGGAUAAAUUAAUGUACUCAAGCAUCUGAGGACAGGUUAAACAGUUAGAAUCCUGUCUCAUUUGGAAAUUCUUUGGUUUAUGACGGUAGUUCUCUAGGAAUCAGAAGAAAGAACUCUUCUUGGUGGCUGGAGUGCCCAGGUAAGGCUUUGAGGAAGGGGAAAGAUGGAGCCUCUCUUCUGCAUCAGAUAACAUGACCAGAGAUGUGGGCCUUACAAUGCCAGAGGUGCAGUCUGCAAGACUCACUGAGCCCUUGGAACCACUCUUUAUCUAGAGAUUUCGAGAACAGAAGCUUCCAGUGGAUGAGUGAAGGCAGGAAAACAUCAGCCCAAGGGGUCCAGGCUCUUUCCAUCUAUGAUGCUAUCAGUUCACCAUGCACUCCAGGAGGGAGAGAGAGUAAUGGAGGAAUGUACUGCCUUUCAGAGGAUGAGGUUGGGGCCAACUUUUUCCUCCUUUCGUCCACAGAUCAGGAUUAAUCCCAGAACCCAGGAUGGGGUUGAGCCUGCAGCAGUAUGCAUGUGGGGGUGGACGGCUGAGUGAGAAGGAGGUGGAAGCAGUGAAACUGAUCCAAACAUGGAGUCAGAUGUGGGCAGUGAGAGUCAGGCAGCAUCAAAACCUACCUCGCAAAUGUAAACACCUUACAUUUCAGCAGGUGCCCAGUCCGUGGAGGCAGCUAACACUAGGCCUAUGGGGACAGUUCUUUUUGGCAAAGUAAGCAUCCUGAUGGCUUUAGAGAACAGCUCUCAGCUGUAACUACAGGUAGGUCUUUGGAAUCGAUGCCACACAAUCGGCUCUUUUCAAAGGGGAAAAGAGGCUAAUGACUUACUCCCCAUAUUAUUG
rnacentral:lncRNA from 1 species